rnacentral:rRNA from 1 species
CAUUCGGAUUGCAGUCUGCAACUCGACUGCAUGAAGCCGGAAUCGCUAGUAAUCGCGGAUCAGAAUGCCGCGGUGAAUACGUUCCCGGGUCUUGUACACACCGCCCGUCACACCAUGGGAGUCGGAAAUGCCCGAAGCCGGUGGCCUAACCGAUAAGGGAGGAGCCGUCGAAGGCAGGUCUGAUGACUGGGGUGAAGUCGUAACAAGGUACC